GGGCGAAGUCUGCUGCUGUAAUAGGUUAGCACACAAUUAGUGACUUGAGGAAGCACAGGGUUAUUACCUUCCCACCUGGCGGGUCAGAAGAGAAGGCCCGCAGCACAGGGGCAGGAUGGGCUAGGAGACCCCAGCGUGUCCAUUCCCUCUCCUUUGUAGGCCAGCACCUGGGCCCACAUGGGCCCCCCUACUUUCAGUUUCUUCUGUCUCCCACCCAUUCUUCGCAGCCCGAAGCCACAUUAGUUUUCCUAACACACAGCCUACUCAGAAACCUCUAGGGGCUCCCCGCUGCCUACCGAACAAGGCCUAGACUCUCUGAUAAUCGACGCCCUCCGCGAUGAAGUGGAAAAAGGUCCUUCCAGGCUUCUCUUGCACUCUUGGACUCUGUGUGUGCAUGUAGGUGUGCCCUAGACCUCCUGCUUGGAAUCUGGCUCCACAUCGUGUCUUGCCAAGUCUCGCCAAGCUUGGCUGUCUUCUCCCCAGUUUCUCUCCUGGUUGAAAUCCGACCCCCAUAUGGGAGGUAGCGGAAUGCCCCCCCCCCCAAGAUGGCCACACCAUAAUGCCUGGAGCCCGAGAAUGUGUCACCCCACAUGGUGGAAGGGACAGCGCAGAUGUGAUUAAAGUUACAGAUAUUGAGAUGAGGAGAUUAUUUUGUAUUAUUCAGGUGGGGCCCAGGGUAAUUAAAAGGGUCCUAAGAAGUGGAAGAAGGCAGAUGGGAAGGAUUUGACCUGCAGCUGGCUUUGGAGACAGAGGAAGGGCCACAAUCCAAGGAAUGCAGUGGCCUCUAGAAGCUUUGCAAAGCCUCUGAUUUACAGCCAGCAAGAAAACAGGAACCUCAGUCCCACAACUGGAAAGAACUGAAUUCCACUAACAGCCCAAGUGGAUGGGAAACAGACUCCCCCACCUAGUCCCCAGGAAAGAACUCAGCCCUGAUAAUGCCUUGGUGUUUGCCAUCGAGAUCCGUGCCGGCCUCCAGAACCACACAAGACAUUUGUGUUGCUUUAAGCCACUAAGUUUGUGGAAUUCGUGGGCAGCAAUAGGAAAGUGCCACAGUCUCCUUCGUGGGGUUUCUCCUUCAUUAGACACAGUUUCUGAUUCAGUGUCUCCGAGAAGCUCUCCUUGACCAUUGAAGCAAGAAGUGACCACUUUCCUUUCUUUUCAUCUCCCAGCAGCACUGUGUGGGACUUCUCUCUUGGUGAGAAAUGGUCUGGCAUCCUGGGUAUUUGCAGACGGGUCCUAAUUCUCCUGUUAGACUUCUAGCUCCUCGAGGAAAAGGUUGCCAACCCUCACCCCGGAGCCGCAGCAGUGGGCAUGAAAAAUUGGUUGGCUGAUGGGGCUGCUGAGGAGGCAAGACUGACACAACUUGGCAUUGGGUUACACGGGCGUUGGCAGGGAGGGGGAUCAACGACUCCUGCUUUCCUGGUACCUCCCCCAGAGAUCGCCACAGAGUCCGGGAUACGCAAACGCCUCCGCAAACCAACAAGGCCCUGGGCACCCAGCCUCGGAGCUCCUUUGUUCCCUCGGCCUCUCCCCCUCCCUCCCCCCUGCACCCUGGCCCGUGUGGAGCCCUCCUCGCCCGUCAAGAGCUCUCCUCCAGGCUGGUUCUUGCCUGUGUAAGAGGAGCACGGCAGGCAGGUGCAGGUGUGUGAGAAGACUGGAGGUGAAGACCGAGGCCACAAGACCAGGAUGUGGUUCGGAUGGAAGUGGGUUGUUUCCCAACAGCCCCCCCUGCACCUCUGCCGGCCUGUUAGCACGUCCCCUCCGGCCUGCGAUGGGACCCAGGCCGGACCCAGACAGACUCUGGGGAACCGAUGCCCGAGCGCAGCUCUGAGAUGCUCCACCAGCCAGAACCUGCCCCCAGACUUCUCUCUGAGUCUUGUCCCCUGGAUGUGCUUUUGAGAUUCCGGGAAGAGAAAGCUAUGAAUGAAUAGAGGCGGGGAGGAAGGAGAGACCUUACCCUGCCACUGUCAACUGAGCCACGACGGGGAUUGUGUCAGUCUUCGUUGGUCCUUAGCACCUAGAACACGGCUGGCACAGAAGAGGUGAGGCAUGAAUAUUGUCGAACGAUUUCGGGUAAUUGUGUCGUGUGUCUAUUUUCCAAAUGGUUCUGAUCCUUAGUGCUUUUCUCUACUCGUUGCUUUGAAAGCUUCCAUCACCCUGAUUUAAAAGAGCUCCCCAUGGGGCGCCUGGGUGGCGCAGUCGGUUGGGCGUCCGACUUCAGCCAGGUCACGAUCUCGCGGUCCAUGAGUUCGAGCCCCGCGU